CUCCCAAAAAUCUCUCCAACAAACAAAUCAAAUCUCUACAUUAUACAUCCGUCCCUACAAACUCAUCGGUUAGCAUCUGCCGUUUCACAAUUUCUGUGCAGUUUCCUUCUCUUCCACACAAAGAUUGAGCGGCGAUGAAUGUGAUGGAUGCUGAGCAGAGUCAUUGGAAAAUUAUGUCUUAUUUAGUUGUUGGAUUUGUCGGUUCUUCAUACUCGGCAUUUUUCCAUGUCUUGACGCUUCCGCUAAAAUUCUAAAUUCCUUUGACUGUUUUAUCGUUGGGUCUUAUUAUUCGAAGUUAGUAUUGUUGAGACAGUAUUUGACGUUUGUUUUAAGUUUUUUGGUUAAUCUUUUGUUUUA